rnacentral:rRNA from 1 species
GCUUGUCUCAAAGAUUAAGCCAUGCAUGUCUCAGUAUAAGUUCCUGUACGGCGAAACUGCGAAUGGCUCAUUAAAACAGUUACAGUUUAUUUGAUGGUCGUUCCUUACAUGGAUAACUGUGGUAAUUCUAGAGCUAAUACAUGCUAACAGCCCCAACUUUACGGACGGGGUGUAUUUAUUAGAUACAAACCAACCGCUUCACGGCGUUUCGGUGAGUCAUGAUAACUUUGCGAAUCGCAUGGCCUCGCGCCGGCGAUGAAUCAUUCAAGUUUCUGCCCUAUCAGCUGUCGAUGGUAGGGUCUUGGCCUACCAUGGCGUUAACGGGUGACGGAGAAUUAGGGUUCGGUUCCGGAGAGGGAGCCUGAGAAAUGGCUACCACAUCCAAGGAAGGCAGCAGG